CGUCAGAGGGAUCAUGACUUUGUGUAUUAUUGUAACUAGGUAAUUAAGAGAUUAUUAAAAUAAAAAUUUUAAAAACUUCAUUAUUAGAAAAAUGUAAUUACAAAUAUAUUUAAUUAUAUAAUAGUGUACAUGUAAAUGACAUUAAAGUAUAUUUUAGUUCACAUUAAUUGCUUGUCAGUACAUUUGGAAGUACACUUUUAUCAUAUUUCAAAGUACAUAUAAAGAUGUAUUAAAGUCCCACUUAAGUGAAUCACUCAAAAGUCCAACUUAUUGCAUUGAAUAUAAACUUAAUCUGUGAUACAUUUGAAAUCAAUUACAAAUAGCGAAAACAAAACAUUUAAUUCACACUUAAGUGUGUUCUUUUAAAGUAUAUUACUUGCUCACUGUAACCCGCUGCACAAAGUACUGCAGACACGAUGGAUUCUGCGUAUGUCCCAGCUUUUCAGGAGUUCAGGUUUGCCUACGGAGAAUAAGGAGCUCAACAACAACAAUGAAUCACUCAGACACGACUUCAAGGACUUCAAAUGAAAACUAAAGAAAAACUCAAAUGGCAAUUUCAAUCACCAUUCACCACAACUUCACAUCUGUUAAUGAAGCUAAUCUUUUUGUUUUCUCCUUUUUGAGGUUUCAACUUAUUCCUUUGUUCACUCUGGAAGAGGUAAAAUAAAAUAAAAUGGGGACUGUAUCCUUUUCUUUUUUCACAUUAAAAUAAAUAAAAUUAAAUAAAUCUGUAUUAAUAACUCAGUGUGUUCACUCUUUUUUGAAAUUUAAGGAAUAAGUUUCCCUUCCUUGUCUCGAACUUGUAAAAUAGGAAAAAUAAGAAAGAAAGGAAAUAACAAAUACACUUGAUCAAAUUAGAAAAAAAAAAAAAAAAAACAA